GACAGAGGUGCCAAGCGUUAGGCGGAAUCACUGGGCUUAAAGCGUGUGUAGGCGGGCGAUCAAGUACCUUGUGAAAUCCCACGGCUCAACCGUGGAACUGCCUUUGAUACUGUCGAUCUGGAGUAUGGAAGAGGUGAGUGGAACUGCGAGUGUAGAGGUGAAAUUCGUAGAUAUUCGCAAGAACACCAGUGGCGAAGGCGGCUCACUGGCCCGGUACUGACGCUGAGGUGCGAAAGCGUGGGGAGCAAACAGG
rnacentral:rRNA from 1 species